rnacentral:rRNA from 1 species
AAAUAUAAAAUUAAUAAAAAUAAAAUAAUACAAAUAAUUUUAAUAUAAAAUAUGAAAAUGGGGGUUUAAGUAUUUUAUAGAAAAAAUAAAAAAUUUUAUAGAUAAAUAGUAUUGUAAAAGAAAUUUGAAAUAUAUAUUAAAAUUAAUUUAAUUAAAAGUAAAUUUAAAUUAUUGUAUCUUGUGUAUCAGAGUUUAUUAAAAAAUUUAUAAAUUUUUAUUAAUUUCGAAUUUAAAAGAGAUAAUUAAUUAAAAAAGUUAAUGUAGUAUAAUUAUUUUAAAUAAUUAAUUUGAAAUGAAAUGUUAAUCGUUUUUAAAAAUAUCUAAUUUUUUUAGAAAAAAAUUUAAUUUUGAAAUUUUUAUUUAUUUAUAUGAAUUAAAUAAAUAUAAAUAAUAAAAAUUUAAAUAUUUUAAGGGAUAAGCUUUAAAUUAAAUUUUUAUAAUUGAAAAAAAAAUUAUUUAAAAUUUUUAAAAUUUAUAUUGUUUAAAAAUUAAAAUUUAUUAUAAAAAAUUUUAAAAUAAAUAAAAUUUUAUUAAAUUUAAUUUUUUAUAAAAAAAAUAUUAAUAAAUAAAAAAUUAAUAGAAAUAAUGAUAAAAUUAGUAUAAUAAUAAUAAUUAAAAUAAUAAAUUUAUAAUAAAGUAAUAUAAAAGAAUUCGGCAAAUAUUUAUAUUCACUUGUUUAUCAAAAACAUGUCUUUUUGAUAAUAAUUUAAAGUCUAAUCUGCCCACUGAUAAUAUUAAAGGGCUGCAGUAUUUUGACUGUACAAAGGUAGCAUAAUCAAUAGUCUUUUAAUUGAAGACUUGUAUGAAAGAUUGAAUGAAAUAUAAACUGUUUCUAUAUUAAAUUUAAAACUUAAUUUUUUAGUUAAAAAGCUAAAAUAAUUUUAAAAGACGAGAAGACCCUAUAGAGUUUUAUAAUUUAAUUGAUUUUUAUAUAAUAUAAAAAUUUAAUUAAAAAUUAUUUAAAUUAUUUUAUUGGGGUGAUAGAAAAAUUAAAUAAACUUUUUAUAAUAUUUUACAUAAAUAAAUGAAUAAAUGAUCCAUAAAUUAUGAUUAAAAGAUUAAAUUACCUUAGGGAUAACAGCGUAAUAUUUUUUUUUAGUUCAAAUAAAAAAGAAAGUUUGCGACCUCGAUGUUGGAUUAAGAUAAAAAUUAAAUGCAAAAGUUUAAAUUUUUGAUCUGUUCGAUCAUUAAAAUCUUACAUGAUCUGAGUUCAAACCGGUGUAAGCCAGGUUGGUUUCUAUCUUUAGAAAAAUAAAAUAUUUUAGUACGAAAGGAUUAAAUAUUUAAAAUAAUUUUAAUAAAAGGAAUAUUAAUAAUAAAAUUAUA